UCUUGUCUCUGCCUGAAAUGCCUAAGUGCCUCUUUCCCCCACCUCCCUGCACCUGUCAGCUCAGUUUCCCAUAAUGUCCCAGGUUGACUUGUGCCCUCACUCCAGUACUGAUCAGGCGACUGCUAUGUACCUGGGUGGAAGAGUCAAGUAUCCUGACUCCCCCGUAGGUGCCAUGCAAAUCUAUGGCAUUUCUUCCCAUCUACACCUGUCUGCUGCUUUCUGCACAGGCCCAUGCUACCCGUUUGCACCUCUGUUUCUCCCCUGAGCCCUUCAUCGCUACAUGCCGUGGAUCCGAGAGCAGCUUCUGGCACAUAAUGUACACUCGAUAAAUGUGUUGACUGGACACACGAGUCUGUCUUGGCCACUGCGUGGGACCAGGGACUGUUUCCUUAACGGUGACAGGCAGGUGGCUCAGGACCACCCUCCCGCGAGUCCGAACCGGAACCACUGUCCCCAGCUGCACCUCGCCGCCUACCUCUGAAACUGCGCUGGCAGCAAUUCCUAAAAGUAACCUUACACCAAUGAAGCAGAAAGAAAAGACAAAACGCCUCUUAUCCAUUGUCAGACCAAAAACAGUUGGAUUGCUUCCAGCACUGUGGCAGAGUUCUCAGGAAAUGUAGUAUUUAUCUUUACACACGGAGGAGCUGACCGAGAUCAAGCUGGAAGAAACUGAUGGGACAGGGAAGAGACCCAAGACAGCUUUCAACGUUUCACCUGCUAAACAACCCAGCCCAGACACGGAGAGAUCUUCUAUGUGCUGGUUCACUCCCCAAAUGCCUGCAACAGUUGAAGCUAAAUCAGAAUGAAGCAAGGAAUCUGAACUCAGUCCAGGUCUCACAUGUGCAUGGCAGGGACUCAGCUCCUUAAGCCAUCAGUUGCUGCUUCCCAUUGGGCGCAUCAGCAGGAAGUAGGAAUCAGAAGUGGAGCCAGAACCCGGAUCCAGAUAUAUGAGCUGCAGAGUUGGAUAGUGAGAGAGAGAGAGACAGAGAGAAAGGUCUUUCUUCCACUGGCUCACCCCUCAAAUGGCCGCCACGGCCGGUGUGCUGCACUGAUCCGAAGCCAGGAGCUAGGUGCUUCCUUCUGGUCUCCCAUGUGGGUGCAGGGCCCAAGGACCUGGGUCAUCCUCCACUGCCUUCCCAGGCCACAGCAGAGAUCUGGACAGGAAGAGGAGCGACCAGGACAGAACCUUUGCUCCAACCGGCACUAGAACCCGGGAGUGCCGGCACCGCAGGUGGAGGAUUAGCCAAGUGAGCCAUGGCGCCGGCCCAUUUCCUUCAUUUUUUUUCAAAGAUGAUUUUGAGUAAUCUCCCUAGGCUCUUGUCAUGAGUUGCCAAGGCUAUGGAAGCAUUUUGAGUUCGCCGACUCCGAUCUUAUUUAAACGAGGUCAUAGUCAAAGUGGAACAAAGUGGAAGUUUUCUCCUCCCUUCAGAGAAAGCUUCCUCCGAAUCCAGCUGUGCCUCUCAGCAGAGCAUAGACUUCAGCGACUUUCUGCUGACUGUGCCUCAAGCUUCCUAGACACGAUUUCCAUCUGGAUUAUCUGAUUUGGAUGGCAUCGGGGAUAUUGUGAUUUAGUGGUUACCAGCUAGCAAACUGCAGAGCCUGAAUUCAAACCACAAGAUCUGGAGCCUAAGUCUGCGUCAAUCACAAACUACCCUGCCUGUCACACCAAAGCUACUUGGAAGGCAGGCAAGAGGAGAGACUAUCAUCUGGUUCUCCCACAUGGAUGGCCGGGGUCCUAGCACUUGAGUCAUUGUAUGCUGCGCUCCCAGGAUGCAUUAACAGGAAGCCGGGUCAGAAGCAGAGGUGCUGAGACUUGAACCGGCACUCCGAUAUGGGAGGUAGGCACCUCGAGUGGCAAGUGGCGGCUUGACUCACUGCACCAUAGAGCCCUCUCCAAGCAUUGUUUAAUUCUGAGUUACACCAGUAUGCAAAAACUGACAAAAAUCCUUGCCUGUGUAGGGGUUUCCAUUCUGGGAUGAGAGAUGAAUAAAUCAGAUAAUGAAGUAAAUGGAGGAUAGAUAGAGAGAGAGAUUUCAAGUGUGGGAGAAGGUGGUUGAAAUUUUUAGGUAGGUGGAUCAGCAAAGCCAGAGUAAAGAUUUGUGUGAAGGCCUGAAAGAUUUCCUGGGCUGGAGAGGAUAAGUAUUUUCCAUUUGGGUCACUUUGUAUUCAACUCGGUACACCGACACAUCACCACCUCCAAAGUGGGUGUUUUUGCAAAACUUUUUUCUUUACCUGUCAGAGGAAUCCGCGUUCUUGCUUCUGUCUCAGCCAGUUCUUUACCUGUGCGUGGGAUUCCAGGUUCACCAUCUCCUUCACACGCUAUUGCCUUAGGGUCCCCCUUCUCAACAAACGAACAGGAAAACAAUUAAAUGCCUUCUCCUAUUACCUUAUUCUCUAUCUUGAAAAAGGUAGUUCCUGUUUACUGUGCCCACCCCUGCUUCUUAGCUCAUUGCUAGGUGGCCUUCCUCCAAGCCAGGAAACUGCAGUUGGGAGGGCCACUGUGUGAUUAGAAAGCCAAGUGGCUCACCUUUCUAGACUUUGCUUUGGAAACCUGGGGCCAGGACUCUACAGGCUGUAUUUCCCCUUUGACUUCAGGUUUCCACACUGGGUUUUGCUGAUGAACGUGACACUACAGGGAUAUGGGAGGCAGAAGGAGAGAAGGGGGUGCUCACCGCCCAGUACCAGCCAUACUCCAGCACCUCCAAGACCACUGCCAUGGUCCCAUCCUCAAACAUUCCAGCUGCUCCACUGGGCCAACCAUACAAUUUCCAGGGCACCAGGCUCCAGCUGCACAGGAUCCUUGCCCCGGAGGCCCAGGUCCAUGAGGCCUCUUUCCUGAGCCUUAGAGGUUGCAGAACCUUGAACGCACCAUCCUCUCUCUGAGAGGCUGCAGCUAAGCCCCAGGGCGGCUUCUCCACGGGACCCCGUUCGAGUGACUCCAACCUCUUCCCCUUGUCCCCUGCUAGUUGCUUCUUGUGGUUACAAUUUCUGUGCUUUCUCAAUAUUCCUGUUUGCUUUUUCAGUCCUCCAACUCCCAUUUACACAGGGUUUUUGUUGUUGUUAUUUUGGAUUUAUUUACUUGUUUGAAAGGCAGAGUUAUAGAGAGGUAGAGGUAGAGAGAGAUGGAUCUUCCAUCUGCUGGCUCAGUUCCCAAAUGGCCACAACAGCUGCAGCUGAGCCGAUCUGAAGCCAGUAGCCGGGAGUUUCUUCUGGGUCUCCCACGUGAGUGCAGGGGCCCAAGCACUUGGACUAUCUUCUAUUGCUUUCUCAGGCCAUAGCAGAGAGCUAGAUCAGCAGUGGAGCAGUCAGGACUCGAACCAGCACCUGUAUGGGGUACCAGCACUGCAGAUGGCAGCUUUAUCUGCUAUGCCACAGCAUCAGUCCCUAUGUAGUUUUUAAUAUUAAUUUUUUCUCUGUGGAAAUAGCUAAUGUGGUUUCUAUUUUGCUAACUGGACCUGAAUGAUACAGUUAUCCAAAAUUUCCAUGUUGCCAAAUUUGAUAAAUCCCAUCUCUCAACCCUUGUAUCGCAUUGCUUCUAUGUAGCAUUUUCUUUUUCUGAGCACUCUCCCCUGGCUCGGGAUACUGUUCAUUCUUGGCUUUCCUUCUUGCUUUUGAUCUCCCCCUUCUCAGUCUUCCCCUGAUCCCUUCUUCCUCCUGCCACCUUCCCCCAGGUUCCCUUCAUGGUCCUCCUCUGCUCUCCCCUUACUUGUCCUGGGUCGUUCAGAGCAAUGGCUUAAUUUCUGGCUGAGAACUCCAGCUCUCUAACCCUUCCUGGACAGCUCUCCAGAGCUCACAUUCCUAUGUGCAAUUGCGGCUUGGCUAUUUCUACCUGCCUCUUCGCCCAGGCUCUUCAGUCUCAUUAUUUCCCAAAUAAAUCUCAUCAUCUUCCCAUCCCAAACUGCUCUCCUCCUACACCCACCAUCUGCCUCACUGCCCAAGACAAAGUGGCAAGGUUCCUGUGGAUGUCUCCCUCUGCCCCACCUCCUGCCGCUUCUGGAGUUGUGUCUUCUCAGAUGUACAUCCUCUGAUGUCAUUCCCCUGCUUAACACUCUCACUGACUCUUGGAAUCACGUUUCAAGUUCAGGGUCCUUCCGGAGCUCACCUUCACUGGCCUCUCUAGCUUUAUCUCUGAACGUCAUCCUCUCUGCACACCUUCCUGCACUGUAGGAAGCCACACGCUGCUACUGGAACACCUGGAGCUUCCUCACACUUUGCAUCUUUCCAUCCUGUCUGAAAUGGCCAUCUGCCUAUGCUUAUUGGCCUACUCCUUCCAAUCUCAUCUCAGAUAUGGCUUCCCCUGUGGAGUUCUUCUUGAGCCAAACCCUUGCUCCUUCCCCCUUUCAGAGGUAGACUGCUUUCUCUGGAUCCACACGUGGAGUGCUCACCACCACAUGCCUUCCUGCAAGGCACCUGGGAUUUUACUUGUCUUGUUAUCUCUAGCAUCUAGCACAGGAUUGAGACAUAGGAAAUACUCAGCGAAUAUUUUCAGGAUGAGUAACACGUGUUUUUAGUACUCUCUGACUGGUUGGAGUUUGGUAGUUAAAGCCUGAAUUGAGGUCUUUCUCUGGGCACGGGGGUGUCAGCUGAGAGGCAUACCCCCAGAGAAGUCAUAGACACAGAAGUCACCUGUGCCAAGUUAAAUUUGUCAGAGCAAUCUUGACUGCCUGGUGGAAAUGCAGGUAUAUAAGACAACUUUGGCAAAACAACAUGACCUGCACUUGGCUUUGAUUUAUCCCACCAAAUGGUGGAGAUAAAAAGAAAGACUCAUAGCAAAGGCAGAAUGCUAAUCAGCUCCCUGUGUCUUGUCUUGUGUUGUUAAAAAAAAUCAUGCAAAUGUUGUAUAAUUAUUUGUCUUCAUUAUGUGAGCUUUUGCCUCACUUCAUUAUACACAGAAUUUGCAAGUUACUUUCUGCCUUCUUCCCAUUGCGUUUGAACUGGCAUCCAUACAGCAAACAUUAAUUCACAAACUGGUGUGAGGCAUAGGUCUCAACUUACAAUAUCCAUUAUAUAGACAGAAACUGUGCAGGGGCCGGCGCUGUGGCGCAGUGGGUUAACAUCCUGGCCUGAAGCGCCGGCAUCCCAUAUGGGCGCCGGUUCGAGCCCGGCUGCUCCACUUCCAAUCCAGCUCUCUGCUAUGGCCUGGGAAAGCAGUGGAAGAUGGCCCAAGUCCUUGGGCCCCUGUACCCACGUGGGAGACCUGGAAGAAGCUCCUGGCUCCUGACUUCGGAUCGGCACAGCUCUGGCAGUUGCAGCCAAUUGGGGAGUGAACCAUCAUAUGGAAGACCUCUCUCUCUCUCUCUCUGCCUCUCCUCUCUCUGUGUAACUCUGACUUUCGAAUAAAUAAAUCUUUAAAAAAAAGAAACUGUGCCAAUCUUUUCAAGGCUUAGAGAUGUGUGGAGGUGGGGACAUAUUCUGAGGAUUUGCUUGAGCGUGCUGGCUAGUGGGUAGUAACAAUUGGGAAUGGCUGCUAAGGAUUAAUGCAAUGGAUUGUUCAGUGUGGUUUAGAUGAAGAGGUGUGAGAAUUAAAAUUACAGGGACAGGGGCAGG